rnacentral:rRNA from 1 species
AGGGGCCUACGGGGGGCAGCAGUGGGGAAUAUUGGGCAAUGGGCGCAAGCCUGACCCAGCAACGCCGCGUGAAGGAAGAAGGCUUUCGGGUUGUAAACUUCUUUUCUCAGGGACGAAGAAAGCGACGGUACCUGAGGAAUAAGCCACGGCUAACUACGUGCCAGCAGCCGCGGUAAUACGCAGGUGGCAAGUGUUAUCCGGAUUUAUUGGGUGUAAAGGGCGUGUAGGCGGGA